GGAUUAGAUACCCUGGUAGUCCACGCCGUAAACGAUGGAUACUAGCUGUGUGAUUUUCGGAUUGCGUGGCUAAGCGAAAGUGAUAAGUAUCCCACCUGGGGAGUACGUUCGCAAGAAUGAAACUCAAAGGAAUUGACGGGGGCCCGCACAAGCGGUGGAGCAUGUGGUUUAAUUCGAAGCAACGCGCAGAACCUUACCUGGGCUUGAACCGCGAGAGACAGGAGCAGAGAUGCUUUCGUGCCUUCGGGAACUCAGUGACAGGUGCUGCAUGGCUGUCGUCAGCUCGUGCUG
rnacentral:rRNA from 1 species